ACGAAAGUAAAAAAGGAGGACAAGAAGAGACGCCAUUUCAGGUAUUAAAACGGCUGCAUAUUGUGUGGAUGACACUGCCUCGAAAAUGAGUCUCCAUAACAAGAGAGAUAAUGAGGGCACUGCCCCUUCAUCUGCUGGAUCCAGCUGUGUAUCUAUAAAGAGUGAUAAAUCAAUGGAUUUUCCUCCUAACUUAAAUGAAAGAACAGUGACCUCUGACCCCAGAUCUACACUGUCCUCUACAUCCCACUAUCAGACACAUAUGAAUCAGGAUAACACUGAAAUAGCCCUGAAGAAACACACACUAGAGACUGGAGACCUGCAGAGAGUCAAAGACCAGCACAAAAUUAGCAUGAAAAACAAGUACGGGAGCAUAUUUGAAGGAAUCAAACCAGAAGAGACCCUCCUGAACAGGAUCUACACACAGCUCUACAUCAUAGAGGGAGGGAGAUAAGGAGUAAAUGAAGAACAUGAGGUUUUACAGAUGGAGAAAACAGCCAGAACACAACACUCA